rnacentral:tRNA from 1 species
CAAAUUGAAGCUUUAUUAGUUAAGCAUUUCAUUUACACUGAAAAGAGUGUCGUGCAAUUCGAUUUAAUUUGA